rnacentral:rRNA from 1 species
AGAACGAACGCUGGCGGCAUGCCUAACACAUGCAAGUCGAACGAGACCCCAAGUCUUCGGAUGGCGGGUUUAGUGGCGCACGGGUGCGUAACGCGUGGGAAUCUGCCCCUUGGUUCGGAAUAACAGUUAGAAAUGACUGCUAAUACCGGAUGACGACGUAAGUCCAAAGAUUUAUUGCCGAGGGAUGAGCCCGCGUAGGAUUAGCUAGUUGGUGAGGUAAUGGCUCACCAAGGCGACGAUCCUUAGCUGAUCUGAGAGGAUGAUCAGCCACACUGGGACUGAGACACGGCCCAGACUCCUACGGGAGGCAGCAGUGGGGAAUAUUGGACAAUGGGCGAAAGCCUGAUCCAGCAAUGCCGCGUGAGUGAUGAAGGCCUUAGGGUUGUAAAGCUCUUUUACCAGGGAUGAUAAUGACAGUACCUGGAGAAUAAGCUCCGGCUAACUCCGCGCCAGCAGCCGCGGU